rnacentral:misc_RNA from 1 species
GGCAAAGGGAGGGGAGGGAGAGCGGAGGCCGAGGAAGCGGAGCACGGCGGUGAUGAUGAGGUUGAUGGAGGAGAGGAGGCGGAGUGGGCCGGGGAGAAUCAAGCCGUAGCAGAUGAAGGGGAAGCUCAUGAUUGAGGCGGUGACGAAUGAAUUGGUGGGCGGCGAAGGGAAAAGCCUACUGGUCAGCUGGGUCCGCCCAACCGCUUUCGGGCUUGUUC